CCGUGGCUUCCGGCUGCUCCUGCAUCCGGGGGAAAGCUGCCAUUCCAGCUCUUGACCUGGAGCCAGGCAACUCAGUCCCCCCACCCCCAUGUCCCUGUCGCCUCUCCAGCUGCUGCCCCAGCACUGGAACUCUGAGCCAGCGAUUCCGACGGCCCCAAAAUUAAGGUGCGUCUUAUACAUGGGAGCGUCUUGUACAUGGGGAAAUACGACUUCAGACCAGUGGGCUGUUCAAGACCAAAGACUCCUCAGAGGCUCUACUCUGGAUUAGCACCCAUGAUCCUGCUAAGGCUGCAAGUCUGGAAGGUUCCCAGUGGAUGAAAACUACCCCCAUGUUACACAGCAAGCUAGAUAACCAAUAGGAAGGGAGAAUUUGGAUGGUGCACCGUGGCUUUGAAAGGCUCCGGAAACCCUAGCAAAAGGAGCUGAACCAAGAACACUGAGACUGGGAAAUAAAACCCUGUUUGUUCACAGAGUGCUCCAUCUCCAAGACUCCACGGCUCCCUGACUGCGCCCCUCACAUGGGGCCACCUGUACAAGCGCGAGCCCCUGAGCCUCUGGGGGCUAUUUGGCCUCUGCCUUCCAGUCCCCCUGCCAGCAUGCGUUCUGGGCUGCGCUACACCCGGGGCUGACUUUCUGAAGUGCCCACCUGUCCAUUAGCAAUCGCAGGGAGACUCCCAACUCAUUUUAUAGAGGCGACUGCACAGCAGUGGGCGUUAAUGACUUUGGAGUGCGCUGUCUUUGACAAUAAGCCGGAAUCUUGACUAUGCAAUUGACUGCAACCACACAAAUUGCCAUUUAGAAGGAAUCUGAAACCUACACACUUGUGUACAUGCGCACAGCGAGCUGCACUCUUCCCAUACGAUCAUGGUGGCUGACAUUCUACCCAAUUUCAGUGAGCAAAUUUGACUAAAACGGCUGCGUAAUACAUUCUGCGUUAACGUCAGUUCUUGAAAAAGCCCAAGGAUUAAAAGUUAAUUCCAUCCUUUUAAUUCAAGGGACAUAUAAAUGGCAUUAUGGGGAGCGCCAACUCCUCUUUUUAUCAGUCCUUUCAUGCUGCCUCCUCGCUAAUUCUUGGUUGUUCAAAUGCUACCUACAUAAUAAAAGCUUUGAGUUAAUUUACUAAGAUUUUACACCAGUGCAAAUGAAAGAAAGGAAAGUGCUAAACAAGGCAAUUAGCACUCUGUUUAGUGCACUCCCAAAAUAAAUGUAGGCAAUUUACAAUUUGGCAAAUGGCACUCUACCCACAUCCAGCUCAUUUAUGCCUAAGGGGGUGGCACAGUUCAUUAGGGGAAAAAGUGUUUAUAUAUAUUAUGCUAUUGAGGCCCAACCCAUCUUGUACGCUAGCAACAGAUGCGACUCCUCCUGAGGUUUAUUAGUGUUUCCUGCAGAAAAAUGCCAAACUAUUACGCUUUCGAAUAAAUGGCCCAAAAAGAAUGCCUCUUGCUACCGAGUAUGAGUGGCUAGCUUUACAAGAUGGGGGUGUGGAGAUGCGUGGCAGGGUUGGUUUGCAAAACCUAUAGCCGAGUUGGAGCCUCCUCUCCACUUGAGAGAAGUGAUUCCCAGUAUAAUUUUGGAGCAUACAUCUCCACUCUGACGCCACUUGCAGACAUCCGCUGGAAUUGUUCAUUUGAAGUACUGCUGACUGUUUCCUAAUUGACACAUCGGUUACUCCAAGCCUUUCUUGUUUAUUCUUGUAAGCCUCUUAUUAGUGCAAAAAUAAUAGAGGCUGUUAAUGCAGAAUUACAACUGACAUUGAUAUUUAAGAUGCGAAAAUGAUAAAGGUUAAAUGUGUUUAUACUGCUUUUGUACAAAGAGCUUUACAAAAUAGUUCGGAAACAGAACGCUGGGCCAAACAUGGAGUAAUUGUGCCCAAAUCCUAGCCUCUCAUUCUUUGGGAUUUACUUUUCACUUUGACAUAUUACUGUCAUCUGCACUUUGGAUUUCUGCUGGCAAGGAAAUAUGAAAAAUUGACACCUGAAGAAGGGAAGGUGCAAUAA